CCGUUGCCGGCGACCGGCGCACGGGUGAGUAACACGUAUGCAACCUGCCCGUGGCAGGGGGGAUAAGCGGGGGAAACCCCGUCUAAUACCGCGUAACGCGGCCUUGGGGCAUCCCAAGGCCGCCAAAGGGAGCAAUCCCGGCCACGGAUGGGCAUGCGGCGCAUUAGCUAGUCGGCGGGGUAACGGCCCACCGAGGCGACGAUGCGUAGGGGUUCUGAGAGGAAGGCCCCCCACACUGGUACUGAGACACGGACCAGACUCCUACGGAAGGCAGCAG
rnacentral:rRNA from 1 species